CGUCUAUGCGGGGAGGGUGAGAGGGCGGUAAAGGUUUAGGUUGGGACGGGAUAUUUAUUAUUCGCUGUUAAGUAUUUUCCUCGCGCUCUAGCUAGCGCGCGCGGGAACUAGCCUAGCCUUGGGCAGCUCCUUGGCGCUCCCUCGAGCUAGGCUAGCGACCUCCCGGCGUGGGUGGUCUAGUCCUUCUCGGCUCCCUAGGGUCGGUUCCUCCUCGUGCGCCAAACCGCGGAUUGAACACGACUAACCGGCUAGAGACGAAGAACAAGGUCGCGCGCACGCCUAGGUACCUUAGCCACAGCCUCUCCUGACCGCGAUACCUAAGUGGCCUCGGUUCUUAGCUCUGGUAAGGAUCCUUCCUACUCUUUUGACAAUUUGGAUGGUAAAGUGAACUAAGUUCACAAUAGUUAGAUGGUUCACUUCCUGUUCAGGUCCGCCAGUGUAGGUUGUAUCCACCCCUUGUAUCCCGACGUAUAGGUGUUGUGUAAAUAAGGAGCGUUCGUGUUGGUAAGAUAAUGGUUCCAUGUCCUAUACUCUUGGAAGGUUUGCUUACGCUACAUAUAGGAGGGAUAUGCUCACAACUACCUAACCUUCACCCAGGUCGCCAAUAUAUGUUGCUCCUGGGAAGGUACUACAUGGUACCACCGAUACCGAUACUGGGAAUACGAGUAAUAAGAGGAUAGAGCUGUGGUCAUAGUCGACCACAAUCACCUUUACCGAGAGGAUGAGGUCAUAGUGUCCCACUCUGUUACUACGGUUAACUGGGUUGUGUUUCACGAAAAUAGCGACUGUGAGACUCAGGUUUGUCGAAGGAAAAACCUGGUUCUGGUCUUACCAAAUCUAGCAGUGUUCCUUGACCAAGCAAAGAUAGUGGACGUUGAAGUGGAGUUGGAAACCCACUACAAAGUCCCCGCAAACCUGUUUCGUUGAAAGGAUACCGAAGACCCUACUACGGGGGAGUCGUCUUCAGGAAGAUACCAAAACCUUGGGGAUCACUGAGAAUACCUUCUUCCAAGAGAGUAGCACCCUCAAAGGGUGUAUGGUGAUUAAUACCCUCAGGAAAGGGACCGAUACCGGACUUACCAUCUUCAAACUAAGGUCAACUGUUUCUCGCGUCCUCUCCCUCCCCAUUAGGAAACAAUACGUCGAAACAACCAAGUGAACUAAAGGAGUUACUCGUUUCGGCGCCAGGUGCAAGGUGGUCCGGAUUCUUCGUUGGUCUCCUAUUGUCAUUUCUACUCUUCAGAAGACGACCUGAACUGGUCCCCAGUAUGUUGUCCUGACUAAAACAAUGUCUCAUGUUUUUACGAUCUAAAAAAUAGUAUUUUAGUAUGUCGCUUCUAUUACACGUGUUCUCGUAGUUUAUACCACAAACCCGAUCGUGGUGUUUACCUUUGUUCUUUGAUCUACCCCGAAUAGUACUUCACUUCUUCCUUCUUGUGACAGGGUAAAAAGACAACAAAAGCCACUUGCGAUCGCGUGUCAAGACGCCACAACGCCUCUACUGACCUGGCCACUUAAAACUCUUCUCACACCUGAUGACCGUCGUUCUAUUCACCUGACCGGUCAAGGGACAAUUAACCGUGUAUGACUUCCUACAAGGUUUAUUAGAGAAGGCGGUAUAUUAAGAACUUUUGUUACUCGUGUUCGGCCAUUGGUUGUCGGCCCUGUGUGUUCUCCACUUUGACCUUGUUCCUGUCCUCUACGACUUUUAGAAGUUCCUGGUACUCCUCCUACGCAGCUAGGAGCUACUGAAACUGAAAAUGCUCCUUGCACUCUUUCGGGACGACCUCUUAUUCCGUUCCGACAUAGUCGUUGUCGUCUAUAGGUCGAGGUCAUAGCGACUCGGGUUCUUCGGCAGCUGACAUGGUUGACUGGACCACCCAGUAUAGCGGUUCUUAACAUCGAAAGAACUCGGGUUCUUCGGGAACUGACAUGGGUGACUGUACCACCCAGUAUAGUGCUUCUGAAAACGUGUCCGACAAGCCGAACCGUUCCGGUUCUCACACUCGGGAGACCCGUUCUUUCCGGGACGACCCCUAAAUAGACAACGACGCUUCGGACAGCUCCAGUCUCUCUCGCCGAUCUCGUCAACUUCACUCUAAACCGAAACGAACUUUAAAUUAGGUACACGAAGGAGUAGUCUUACGACCCCACAUAUUUCUUUUUGUGUCCACUUCUACUACCGGAGCCAUCAAAGAACGUAUCAGAGAAAACAGAAUUAAAGGAAACGCAUUAAUAUAUAAGCUCAUGCCAAUAAGGAAUCGACCAUCCGAAUUCCAUCUCUCGACGUCAAAACAAUUUAAAAGGAAAAGAA
rnacentral:rRNA from 1 species